rnacentral:rRNA from 1 species
UUGGGUUAAGUCGCGCAACGAGCGCAACCCUCGCCCUUAGUUGCCAGCAUUUAGUUGGGCACUCUAAGGGGACUGCCGGUGAUAAGCCGAGAGGAAGGUGGGGAUGACGUCAAGUCCUCAUGGCCCUUACGGGCUGGGCUACACACGUGCUACAAUGGUGGUGACAGUGGGCAGCGAGACGGCGAGGUCGAGCUAAUCUCCAAAAACCAUCUCAGUUCGGAUUGGACUCUGCAACUCGAGUGCAUGAAGUUGGAAUCGCUAGUAAUCGCGGAUCAGCAUGCCGCGGUGAAUACGUUCCCGGGCCUUGUACACACCGCCCGUCACACCAUGGGAGUUGGCUUUACCCGAAGGUGGUGCGCUAACCUGGCAACAGGAGGCAGCCAACCACGGUAGGGUCAGCGACUGGGGUGAAGUCGU